rnacentral:rRNA from 2 species
AAACAACUUUUAACAACGGAUCUCUUGGUUCUCGCAUCGAUGAAGAACGUAGCAAAGUGCGAUAACUAGUGUGAAUUGCAUAUUCAGUGAAUCAUCGAGUCUUUGAACGCAACUUGCACUCAUUGGUAUUCCAAUGAGUACGCCUGUUUCAGUAUCAAAA